rnacentral:rRNA from 1 species
GCAUAAUCAUUUGCCUUUUAAUUGGAGGCUUGUAUGAACGGACACACGAAAACGCAACUUUCUUAUCGAGGAAAAUAAAAAUUAACCUUCAAGUGAAGAGACUUGAGUACCAUAAAAAGACGAAAAGACCCUAUGGAGCUUUACUUAAGUUAUUAAACCACAAAUAAAAAAAGCUUUUUUUACUAAAAAAGUUUAGUUGGGGCGACUAAGGAGCACACACCACCCUCCUACUGACAAAAGACUCUAAAUCUACAAAAGAUCCACAAACGUGAAUAAAAAUCCAGCUACCCUAGGGAUAACAGGCUAAUCCUCCUUAAGAGCUCAAAUUGACAGGAGGGCUUGGCACCUCGAUGUUGGCUUAAGAUCUCUACUAAGUGCAGCAGCUUAGGUAGUAGGUUUGUUCAACCUUUAAAAUCUU